GUAUCGUCAUGUGAUGUGUUUGUGUUUCAGGGUUUGUACUGUAUCUCUGUUAACUGUAUGGAUAACGCUGAGGCCCAGUUCACUACAGCGCUGCGGCUCACCUCCCAUCAGGAGCUGUGGGCGUUCAUCGUCACUAACCUGGCGAGUGUGUACAUCAGAGAGGGAAACAGACAUCAGGAGCUGUACAAUCUAUUAGAGAGGAUAAACCCGGACCACAACUUCCCCGUCAGGUAACACCGAUGAUACGCACGCUCACUCACUCACUCACUCACUCACACACACUGACUCACUCA